CCGUGGCACCUACCGAUUGAAUGUUUCGGUGAAGAUUCCGGACUGUGGCUCGCGUGCUUCACGGCGCUCCUGCCGUGGGAAGUUAUCUAAACCUCAACAUUUAGAGGAAGGUGAAGUCGUAACAAGGUUUCCGUAGGUGAACCUGCGGAAGGAUCAUUA
rnacentral:rRNA from 1 species